rfam:Otolemur garnettii contig112594, whole genome shotgun sequence.
GCCGGAUGAAGUCCCAGCUACUUGGGAGGCUGAGACUGGAGGAUGGCUUGAGUCCAGGAGUUCUGGGCUAUAGUGCACUAUGCUGAUUGGGUGUUCGCAUUAAGUUUGGCAUCAAUAUGGUGACCUCCCGGGGGUAGAGGACACCAGGUUGCCUAAGGAGGGAUGAACUGGCCCAGGUCGGAAACGGAGCAGGUAAAAACUCCCGUGCUGAUCAGUAGUGGGAUCGCGCCUGUGAAUAGCCACUGCACUCCAACCUGGGCAACAUAGUGAGACCCUGUCUCUU